rnacentral:rRNA from 1 species
AAUACGACUCUCGGCAACGGAUAUCUCGGCUCUCGCAUCGAUGAAGAACGUAGCGAAAUGCGAUACUUGGUGUGAAUUGCAGAAUCCCGUGAACCAUCGAGUYUUUGAACGCAAGUUGCGCCCGAAGCCGUCAGGCCGAGGGCACGUCUGCCUGGGCGUCACGC